UACGUAGGCAGCAAACGUUGUUCGGAAUUACUGGGCGUAAAGAGUGUGUAGGCGGUUUUGUAAGUUUGGUGUGAAAUCUCCCGGCUUAACUGGGAGGGUGCGCCGAAAACUGCAAGGCUUGAGUGCUGAAGAGGAGAGCGGAAUUCCUGGUGUAGCGGUGAAAUGCGUAGAUAUCAGGAGGAACACCGGCGGUGUAGACGGCUCUCUGGACAGUAACUGACGCUGAGACACGAAAGCGUGGGGAGCAAACAGG
rnacentral:rRNA from 1 species